rnacentral:rRNA from 1 species
UGGGGAAUAUUGGACAAUGGGCGCAAGCCUGAUCCAGCCAUGCCGCGUGAGUGAUGAAGGCCCUAGGGUUGUAAAGCUCUUUCACCGGUGAAGAUAAUGACGGUAACCGGAGAAGAAGCCCCGGCUAACUUCGUGCCAGCAGCCGCGGUAAUACGAAGGGGGCUAGCGUUGUUGGGAUUUACUGGGCGUAAAGCGCACGUAGGCGGACUAUUAAGUCAGGGGUGAAAUCCCGGGGCUCAACCCCGGAACUGCCUUUGAUACUGGUAGUCUUGAGUUCGAGAGAGGUGAGUGGAAUUCCGAGUGUAGAGGUGAAAUUCGUAGAUAUUCGGAGGAACACCAGUGGCGAAGGCGGCUCACUGGCUCGAUACUGACGCUGAGGUGCGAAAGCGUGGGGAGCAAACAGG